rnacentral:lncRNA from 1 species
UAACUGAUUAUCUUUCUUGUCUUUAUUUCUUUCUUUCAGGUCAUGAAUGCCUACAUGCAGCUACUGGUGCGAGACUUUAAUGCGAAGUCAACCGACAGGGCUAUGGCAAUAGACACAUUUGAGAUGUCCAACAUAUGGAAAAGGAAACAACCAAAAGUGAAGCUGGAUCCACACAUGUACAAGUACAUCCUUGGGAUCAUCAAUGAGAACCACCACUGGAAACUCACUGUCAUGAUCCCAUCACAAAAAAAGGCUCUCUUACUCGAUCCUCUUGGGGAAUCCAGUACCGACAUAAAUAGGUGCAAAGAUGUAACAAGAGCCUUCAUGAGACUUAGGGGGAUCAAUGUGUCCAGAUGGGGAUGCGACACAGUCCCACACCCUCGUCAGACUGACAGUACCUCCUGCGGGCCCUUUGUAUUGAAAUUUGCUGAAUGUAUCCUUAAAGGUGAAAACUGCAAAUUCAAUACAUCAAGAAAAGGUGUAGGGGAAAUGCGAAGGGCAAUCGCAACUGCUCUCCUUGAGAAUACUGAUGACCUGACUGAGGUAUGCCACCAAUGUGGACAGACAGACAAUCCAGAAACAGACGAGGACGUACAAUGGAUUUCCUGUGAACGGUGCCAACGCUGGUAUCAUCAGAGCUGUGCAAAACAUAUGAUGGAAUCGCCACACCUCUGUCUAGCCUGUAACACAGACAGGACAGCCAGGAGAGAGAGGGCACUGGCACGCUAGGUGGGAGUGGUGGGCGUGACAUACUGUACAUCAGUGUACCAGGUAGCUUUUGUUGAUUUUCUAUAUAUUGAACUUAUUUUGUAUUUAUUGUAGUUGGUUUGGCUUUUUGUUUUUUCUUUUUACAUAUGUUGUUCUAAGAAAUUGUUUAUAUUUGUUUUAAUUGUGUUAAUAAAUGUUUUGUUCUGAAUGUUUGAAUUGUGUUAAUAAAUGUUUUGUUCUCAAUGUCAGUGUAAAGUCUACUUCCAGCUAACCCUUGAUCACGCCACCAAUCCCUUGAAUGCAACUCACUCCUCAGAUCACAUCACAGCAAUUCUAGUCACCCGUGCAUUCACAUCACUCCCUCUAUUUAGUUCAGUUCAGUUCACCCUUUCCUUUGUGAGGUAUUGUUUGUUUUCACCACAACCGUACUGUGCCUUUUCAAAAUAUUACCUAUAUAUAAUGAAUUACCCGUGCAUCAACCUGUUUGCCUGACUAACGUAGUCUCCGACUCCUAGCCUGCUCCCCGCCUGGACUUCGCCUACCCAUCAAAUUUCCUGUGUAUGACCCACUGCCAGUCCCUUGACCCAUCUCCAGCCUCCUCCUUGGGAAUUGUGUUAAUAAACUAUUAUGCUCUGCGUUUGAAACCCAUUCUUGGCAUCCUUCGUAUUCAUUACAGUCAGGUUAAGUUGUUUACAUGUUGCUUGGCAACGCGCUACGCCCUGACAACUGUUUGCAGAUUAUUUGUAUUUACUAAAUAAUAAAACCACAUAGUGCUUAAUAAAUUAAAACAAUAGACACGUAUUAAGCGGAGUUAUG